GGACGCAAAGGGGGGCCUGCUUUAAACAUGCAGUCGAACGGAAAGGCCCUGCUUUUGUGGGGUGCUCUAGUGGCGCAACGGGUGAGUAACACGUGAGUAACCUGCCCUUGACUUUGGGCUAACUUCAGGAAACUGGGGCUAAUACCGGAUAGGAGCUCCUGCUGCAUGGUGGGGGUUGGAAAGUUUCGGCGGUUGGGGAUGGACUCGCGGCUUAUCAGCUUGUUGGUGGGGUAGUGGCUUACCAAGGCUUUGACGGGUAGCCGGCCUGAGAGGGUGACCGGCCACAUUGGGACUGAGAUACGGCCCAGACUCCUACGGGAGGCAGCAGUGGGGAAUAUUGCACAAUGGGCGGAAGACUGAAGCAGCAACGCCGCGUGCGGGAUGACGGCCUUCGGGUUGUAAACCGCUUUCGCCUGUGACGACAGUGAGCGACUGUUAUGGGUAAAGAAGCACCGGCUAACUACGUCUCAGCAGCCGCGGUGAUACGUACGCUGCAAGCAUUGUCCGGAUUUACUGGGCGU
rnacentral:rRNA from 1 species